AUUUACCUUUUCUUGUAUAUCUAGUCUAACAAUAUUUGCUAAUAUCUAACAAUAAUAACAUUAAUGCUCUCUUGCUCUUUCGGAUCUUUAUGGAAAGAGCUAAACUGAUUUAACGAUAAUGAAAAAUAAAUAAAUCAUCUUAGAUGGCUGAUGCAUACUUUUUAACGAGUAUUGAUUCUACUUUUUCUAAUUUUUCACAUGUAAGAAGUUGUCUACUCUGCUACUAUUAAUGACCUCAUCUAAAAACUUAAGGUGUUAGAUGUGGGUAGUGCUUGUAUAUUUAAAUUUGAUCUUCAACACGCCCUUUUACGUGCAGGCAAUGAUCAAUUUUCAUCAAAGACCUAUUAUGUGCAAAAUUUUCAUUAAUGUGCGUUGGCAAGAUGUAAACCUAUAUAUUUUUUGUUGCUCUACUUUAUUAACCAUCUUAUCAAAAAGCCCGAGUUGUUAUAGAGAUGCCAUAUUUAUUCAUUUAAAAUUUGGACUUCAACAGCUAUAGAUAGAGUUACUUUUGUGCUUUGAUAUGCUAUACUUAUGCAUGUCGUAGGACCCCUUUAAGAAAAUCUGUUCUCAGUCAUGGAGGAAAACAGCACGCAGGGAAGGCUUUCUUUUCCAUCAAUAUAUGUCUGUGUGUCAGUUCAAUUGAACUUCGGUUCCUCUCGUAGAACCUAAUUCUAGCAUCUAAAUAGCAUGUUCCAAUAGCCUAAUUAGUCUCUUCUUUCUUUUGGAUUUUGGAGAGAGAUGGGGUGAUGCAUGACAAGGGACAUUUGUAUAUUUGCCCCCCUUGCUUGUCUUGAACAACACUGAUUUUGAGGAUCCGAAGGAAAAUUUGAAGGGAAUGAAUGAAAGAAUAAAAAUUGAAAAACAGGAAG
rnacentral:lncRNA from 1 species